AGCUGCUCCACACCUCAGCAUAUGCUCUGCCUCACUUGCUUCCUCACUGUUAAAAUGACAACGGACGCCGUCUUCGGUGCUUCCAACACCCUCGGUUCCCUCUCGCGGCCCGGCCUUCCUACGCUGCUACGUUGUGCAUUACCCACAACAGCAAAAAUGUUCCACUGGUGGUUUCAAGAUUCCUAAAAAAAUAGAUUCAAAACAUCUUUAAUACUCUCUGAAGAAGCAAUACAUCACAGGAAAAGCUGUAACCUUUCCUGUUGCUGAUACUAUCCAGACUGCGGGCUGAUGAGGACGGUAACUGCAGCCAAUUCGUAUUCUGCGUGGCUGCCGCUGGAGGUGCACAGGAGCUGGUCCACCCACCCUCCACACUCCCAACCAAGGAAGCUGCUGAAUUUCUGAGUGUUUGCCUAAUGCCCUUUUAUAUAACCUGAAAAGAGUCACAGUACUUGAAGGCAGUAUUUUCCAAGAAACAGCCUUCCCCUAUUAACGCAACAUCCCUGAAAAUAAUACUGCUGUUUCUACGGCAGUGACAGGCCCUGCAUGGAACGCAUUUUUCCUUCCUUUUUUCCCCAUCACAGAGCCACGGGCAAGAAGCUGCGGCGGCAGAGCCUCGUCAAAGCCAGCUGGACAGAGGGAUGGCUACUUGCAUUGUUAAGUAGGAGCGCUUCACAGUGACCAUGGGCCAGCCUGGAACUGCCUUCCCCCAGGACGGGGGGACAGGCGUGAGUGGGUGUGAAGCACAGGGAAGCUUCUCUGCCUGGUGAUCCCAAGAGGGCCUGCAACAGGUGCCCUGCCUGGCUGAAGGAGGAGGCUGCCGGGAAAUCAGACUCGGAUUUGCCAGCUUACAACUCAAACCGGGCUGGGCAAACACGCUGCGAUACGGCGGUCACGGCUGUAAUUCAGAGAGAAUGCUCAGAAAUGGGAAACAAAAACACAAGGCAGGAUGCCCCUUUGUGCUGGAAGUCAGAAUCUCCAUGUGUUCUUCUCGCUGCCCGCCGAGGUCUGAGCGGGGCCCUGCUGUGAAUGACCCCGGGAACGGUGCCAGAGUCACACAGACUUGGUGCAGACAACAGAGCUACCUUUCAGGGGCUCUGUGUCCUUGGACAGGUCACUAGACUUCUCUGAACCCGUUCGCUCAUUUCCAGAAAGGGAUAAGAUCUCUCUUACAGUUCAUGGGGUGCGCAAGAAUGAUGGGUGCCAAGCCCAUGACCCCAGGUUCUGGCAAGGAAUCGGCCUCUCCAAAAAUGAUGGUUUUUAUUAUUCUCACUAUUCUAGAAAAUGUCUUUGUGAAUUGUUUGCUUGAUUGAAACGGUUUCUUUUUAAUAAAAUCUUGAUUUUAAAAAGCC